UACCCAUGGUGAGGACACAUACUCAACAACUCUUUAAACCUCUCCCACGCCUGAUACAGAGUUUCACUGUCUUUUUGUGCAAAUGUGGAUAUUUGUCUUUUUAAAGCA